AACCCAAGCAUCUAACAGGGCUUCCACUGCUUCCGAUUGGCUGCAGGAGCUUCCUGCAGCCAAUCAAAAGCAGGACUUUGGCUUCCAAACAUUUUGGAAGUCAAACAGACCUCUGGAAUGGAUUCUGUUCGACUUCCAAGGUACGACUGUAUAAGCAGUGGUAUUGGUCUUGCUCUGUUGACUGAGGCUCAGACCCUGUAGCAGUGGGUGAAGGUUGGUGAAUUCAGGAGACAGAGCCAGGCAGACAAAAAAGUAGAGCUGCAUGGGUUAGGGGGCAGAGCCCAUCAAUGGACCAUGGCUAAGGGGCCUAAAGCUGGCACGGUUGGAUAACCCACUGAUGCAGCCUGGUGGGUGGGGAUUCACAGGUGAGAGCAAAAUGCUCUCAAAGAAACAGAAUGGUCCUUUGGCCCCAACUUGUCAUCCUGACAUUCUGCUCAGUUUGAUCAUCUCCUCAAGGCUCCAGAGACUUGGGAUCCGUCCCAUCACAAGUGCUCAACUAGCAUGUGUAGUGACACUCACUAUCAUGAAUGGGACCAAAUCUGCGGGAAGUACUAACAUUUCAAGAUGGAUCCCCGCCUCUCUGUGCACACUUAACAAGAGAUUCUUUCUUUUAGCACCUCAAAGGCAGCAGUGUAUGCAUGAGAGGCAGAAAUCUCACAUUGGAAUUGGACAGACACAGGAAAGCUUCCUUUCCUGAACCCUUAUUACUGCGAUAUUAUUAUACACGCAGCCAGCACCUCCUUUAAUCAAUUUAACAUAAUAUGACCUAUGAGUUAAUCUUCCCUAAUGAGAAGGCCACCUUCACUCCAUUAAGAGACAGAUAUAUCAUCAACCUCAUCUUCCAGAUGAAGAAGGCAAUUAUGAAGAAAGCCUGGAAACGGGAGAUACUAACAGGAUGCAAAAGAUGUGACGGGCAGUGCAUGUCUGAAGGGAGAACCCAGCGUACCAGAGGAAGAGGUGUACUCUGUUUCUCUUCUGGACAAUAGGGUAACAUGCUUGAAUGGACCAGUUAUAGGCCUUCUUUGUUUCUGCAAAACCCUCGGACUAUCUUUGCAAGGAGACAUCUCAAUUUCUGUAAAUGGGCAUUUAAGUCACUCUGAAACAUAUCACAAUACUGAUUUGGCAUCAAAUAAAACCAUCUGACAAUGA